rnacentral:tRNA from 1 species
GGAAAGGUGGCAGAGUGGUCGAAUGCGCCGGACUCGAAAUCCGGUGUACGGGCUUCCCGUACCGUGGGUUCGAAUCCCACCCUUUCCGCCA